UUAAAUUGAAGAGUUUGAUCAUGGCUCAGAUUGAACGCUGGCGGCAGGCCUAACACAUGCAAGUCGAACGGUAACAGGAAACAGCUUGCUGCUUCGCUGACGAGU
rnacentral:rRNA from 1 species